rnacentral:misc_RNA from 1 species
UCCGGCUUAUCGCCGGCAGUAUUUUCAGAGUUCCCAACUUAAUGCUGGCAACUGAAAAAGAGGGUUGCGCUCGUUACUGGACUUAACCCAACAUCUCACGACACGAGCUGACGACAGCCAUGCACCACCUGUGAAGAUCCAGCCGAACUGACCCCGUGUUUCCACGGGUACGAUCCACAUGUCAAACCCAGGUAAGGUUCUUCGCGUUGCCUCGAAUUAAACCACACGCUCCGCUGCUUGUGCGGGCCCCCGCCUAUUCCUUUGAGUUUUAACCUUGCGGCCGUAGUCCCCAGGCGGUGAACUUAAUGCGUUAGCUGCGGCACUGAUCGGGUCAAUCCGACCAACACCUAGUUCACAACGUUUAGGGCGUGGACUAC